GUUUUAUUGCUCUGCAGGUCUCCACCCUGGCAGGAAGCUCUUGCCACCGGCUACAGUCUGGAUCCAGCCUGGCCAGUUCCACCUUUCCCACCUACAACACCUGGCAAGACCAAGACACAGCCCUUCCACAAAUACAUGAGUACAUGAGCACGUGGGGUGGACAAGCCAUCCAAUCAGUCCUCACUGACUCUGAGCUGGGACACCUGCCUUCUGCCCUUAAACAUCAGAACUCCAGGGUCUCUCGCCUUUUGACUCUGGGAUUUGUACCAGCAGCCCCCCAGUGUUCUCAGGCCUUCAGCCUGGGACUGAAAGUCUUGGAUUGGGCAAUGCUACCAGCUUCCUGGUUCUCCAGCUUGUAGAUGGCUUAUCCUAGGACUUCUCAGCCUCCAUAAUCCCAUGAGUCAAUUUCCCUAAUAAGUCCCCUCUCAUCUCUCUCUGUAUAUAUCCUAUUUGUUCUGUUCUUGGGAGAACCCUGACUAAUACACUGUGUAACAUCAGGCCAAUCCCUUUACUUCUCUGUGAGUCUCUG
rnacentral:lncRNA from 1 species